AUUGAACGCUGGCGGCAGGCCUAACACAUGCAAGUCGAACGAGUGGCGGAGGGGUGAGUAGUGUCUGGGAAACUGCCUGAUGGAGGGGGAUAACUACUGGAAACGGUAGCUAAUACCGCAUACCAUCGGUUCUGGCACGAUGGGAUUAGCUAGUCGGUGGGGUAAAGGCUCACCUAGGCGACGAUCCCUAGCUGGGCUGAGAGGAUGACCAGCCACACUGGAACUGAGACACGGUCCAGACUCCUACGGGAGGCAGCAGUGGGGAAUAUUGCACAAUGGGCGCAAGCCUGACGCAGCCAUGCCGCGUGUAUGAAGAAGGCCUUCGGGUUGUAAAGUACUUUCAGCGGGGAGGCGUUACCCGCAGAAGAAGCACCGGCUAACUCCGUGCCAGCAGCCGCGGUAAUAC
rnacentral:rRNA from 1 species